UUUAACCAGGUGUUAAUUUAGGUCAAAAUAAUUUAACCAGGGGUGAAUUUAGGUCACAAAAUUUUAACCAGGAAUGAAUAUAAGUUAAAAUGUUUUAACCAGGGGUGAAUUUCAACCAAAAUAUUUUAACCAGGGGUGAAUUUCAACCAAAAUACUUUAACCAGGAAUGAAUUUAAGUUAAAAGUUUU